AAUGAACGCUGGCGGCAUGCCUAACACAUGCAAGUCGAACGAAGGCUUCGGCCUUAGUGGCGCACGGGUGCGUAACGCGUGGGAAUCUGCCCUUGGGUUCGGAAUAACAGUUAGAAAUGACUGCUAAUACCGGAUGAUGUCGUAAGACCAAAGAUUUAUCGCCCAAGGAUGAGCCCGCGUAGGAUUAGCUAGUUGGUGGGGUAAAGGCCUACCAAGGCGACGAUCCUUAGCUGGUCUGAGAGGAUGAUCAGCCACACUGGGACUGAGACACGGCCCAGACUCCUACGGGAGGCAGCAGUGGGGAAUAUUAGACAAUGGGCGAGAGCCUGAUCCAGCAAUGCCGCGUGAGUGAUGAAGGCCUUAGGGUUGUAAAGCUCUUUUACCCGGGAUGAUAAUGACAGUACCGGAAGAAUAAGCUCCGGCUAACUUCGUG
rnacentral:rRNA from 1 species